rnacentral:rRNA from 1 species
CAAUAGCGUAUAUUAAAGUUGUUGCAGUUAAAAAGCUCGUAGUCGGAUUUUGGCAUCACGCCGAACUGUCAGCCGAUUGGUUUGUACGGUUUGGCGGGUGCUCUCCUUCCGGAAGCUCGUUCCCUUCUUAGUUGACGGGUUCGAUGGUUCCGGGUCUUUUACUUUGAAAAAAUUAGAGUGUUCAAAGCAGGCCUAUGCUCUGAAUAGGUUAGCAUGGAAUAAUAGAAUAGGACUUUGGUUCUAUUUUGUUGGUUUCUAGGACCGAAGUAAUGAUUAAUAGGGACAGUUGGGGGCAUUCAUAUUCCAAUGUCAGAGGUGAAAUUCUUGGAUUAUCGGAAGAUGAACUUCUGCGAAAGCAUCUGCCAAGGAUGUUUNCAUUG